AUUUAGAGUUGCGGUGGAUUCUAGUCUGGAAGUGUAGUUUUCAAUAUAACCAGCAUCACUGGUCGCUAGCGUAUUUUCGGAAGGAAGCAGUAGAAAGCCAUGAAGUAACGCGUGACAAGAUAGGAGAAUUCCCAAGUAUUUGGAUUCAGUUCAAUCGCAGAGCACAUUGCGCUGAAAUGGACCUUGAUAAAGAAUAAAC